CACACACACACACAGGUUGCAACGUAGUAUUUUCAUUUUUUCUUAGCAUUUCUUUAACGUCUUGGUGCAAAAGAAUACCUGCAUUUGUGUGUAAAGAAAUGUUACAUAUAUACUAAAAACAGUUGGAAAAAAGAACUACAAAUUUGGAAAGGAAUUUAUUCAUGUUCUUACUCAUAGAUGGAGUACAUGGUUUAAAAAACACUGAGGAAACAGAUAUGAGGCGGCUGUAUCAACAUAAAAACAUUAAUACAGUUAAAAAUGAAUAAAAAGUUGCACGCUUAAACUUAUUUCUCUACAGUUUGUACAAUUAAUCCAUGUAACAAUAGGUUCUCUCUUAAUAUAGUAGUUAAUUAAAAUAUCUUUACAUAAAAAUACAUUUUUAAGUACUCUCCGGUGGAAGUCUGUUGUGGCUUAUGUUUCUAAAUGACACAAGCAUAAAGCAGCCCACAGAAUAUACAAAUAUGUCUUUGAUAAGUGAAUGUUGGCUCCCACAAUGGCCUGUUAAGUUAUUGCAAAAAUAAUUUACUGCAUAAUAUGUCAGAUUAGAACAUGUUAUAAGCACAAAACUGAAGGGGAAACAAUAAAAACAAAAAUUAAAAAACAAAUACUAAAUUAAGUUAAAGGAUAUUUCUUACUAUACUAUAUAAUUGUAUAAUGUUGCGUUUGAUUGCAAAUGAAAACCCACCAAGAAAAAAAGAAAGAAAGAAAAAGAGAGAAUAGAGUUUAAUUUAUUCCAAACACAUUCUUUUCUUUUAUUUAAGCUGUAGCGAGAUUCAAAUGGACAAAAGAGAAAGAAAAAUAUUACAGAUUUGUUUUAUUAAUCAUGAAUAAACUUUAUUAUACACAACUCUAAAUUUCAGUUGGUCUUAGUCAGAUGUGUUUUUAAUUAAAUCCUGCAACACUGUGCUCGCUGCCAUCACUUUAUAUCUUAGUGUGCAAUUCAAAUAUAUACUUAUUACAAUAUUUUUCCCCCUUAACUCUCAACUCGCGUGUUUAAAAUGUCUGUGAUCAUAUUUGUCCGUUGACUUCUGUCUGGGCCUCGAACGAUUCAUCAGACAGGUUGGCAGCCUCCAACUGAUGCUCCAGACUUUCAUCAUCGCCUCUAUUCUGAUCAACUCUUAUCUUAAACUUAGUGAUGAACUCAUUACUGGCCAGCGCGCCCUCCUUUUUAGGGCAUGUGGGCUUUGAUAACAGCCGGCUUUCCAGUCGCUCUGCAAAGAAAAUUCACAAAACAUUUCUUAUUUGGUAAGCUUGUUAACAAAUUUUAGUUCAGUUUUGCUGAAAGUUAUAGCAUGCAUCAGGUAAGAAGCAAUUGGUUUUUAAAAAGCAUAUACAUUCCCCAAAACAUUUUUAUUAUGUGCAUUCUGGAGAAUAAAAGAUUGUACACAAUUUCCCUUUUUAAAGUAAAAAGAUUAUUAAGUCUAAUUCUUACUUAUUCAGUAGAUUAAAGUAUUGAAACAUCAUUAUUCAUAAAAUAUGCACAUUACAAAAUUAAAGUUAUUCAAAAAUUACUCAAGUACUUACUCCAAUACUCACAUUAUUCAAGUAAAUUUAAUUUUUGCCAAUGUAAUGUCACAUAAAAUCUUAAUCUGAAUAAGGGAUUUGAACCCCACUGUCACGGCCAGGGGAUCAGCAGGCCGCUGACUAGUAGUGUUCUCUCUUCUCUCUUGCUCUCUCGCUCUCUCGCCAGGGCGGAACUCAUGGUGGGUUCACGCCCUCGGCCCACGCCCCUCUGAAGAGGAAACACCUGGGCCUCAUCAGUGCAGCCAGCAUUUAAGCCAGGGAGUGGCUUCUACUCAUCGCUGGAUCGUUGUGUGUGACUCGCAUCCCCUGGACCCGACUCUGCAUUCCCCGAGCGGAUUCCCUUUUUGUGUGAGUGUUUGGAGAGAGAGUCAGAAGAGGAGCAAGUGUCUUUUCCCUACCUGGAUUUCCCCGGAGCCUUUUCCCUGUCACCGCUUUGUAUAUAGCACUAUCCCCUGCACUGUUUGUAUAUACACCUGGUGGAACUGUAAUAAAUACUGACUGUGCCUCUGA